GUCCAGGGCAACAGCCCAGAGACUCUGCCUGGAGGCAGAGCGGUCUCAGCCCAGGCUCUGGGAAAUCAGCCCCAUGCUGAGACUGAGGCUGGAGAACAGAGAGGGGCAGAGUUGGGUGGGAGGUCAGAAGAGAGAAUGUCAGAGCUAGGGGAGAACUAGAUGGGAGCCCAGAACAUGGAAUGUCAGAACUGGGAGAGACAAGUCCAAGAGUCACUUAACUAGGUCUGAUCUCCUAUUUCAGAGGCAUGUGAUAUCCUUCCAUAGGCACUGGUGAUACAAGGACAAAAAUGAAAUGGCCCUCAUCAAGAAGUCUGUAUUUACUGUGAAUGUAGCUGGGCCUUCUGAUGACAGAGUGCCCUCUCAACACUGAAGGUCUGACGCUGAUCUGGGAGGGGCAGGGUUGAUGUCGAUAACUGUCUCUAGGGCUUUCCCUGCAGUGGUUGCCGGAAGCUUCCUUUUCCCAGAUAGGACACUGGCAGUGUCUUACAGGGUUGGAGGAUGGGGCUUUGGAGUCUGGGAUCUGGAGACAAAGAAGGAGCUGGAAUAGAGCUGUACAUGUCAAAGUCCUAUGUUACCCACAGACAUGGCCAUACCCUUCAUAUUGUUACAUCUGUCAAGUAUUCCAUUUCCAUGUACAACUACAUGGACGAUUUGUCUUCUAAAACCUUCUGGACUCUGACCUCCAUGCUCUUCAUUCUGUUGAAACUUCUGUCUUUGAAGUUAUCAAUCAGCUCUACACUGUGCAAUCAAAUGUCCUUUCAUGCUUUUUCGGUUCCUGGCUUUCAAGAUGACCAAGAAGAGGAGGAACAACGAGUGCGCCAAGAAGGACGGCGGCCACGUGCAGCCCAUCCGCUGCACCAACUGCACCCGCUGCGUGCCC